UAAUAACUAACAUCCAGGAAAGGGAAUGGAUUUAGUCUUUUUUUUCAGUGAAGUCACUGAUGGCUCUGAGAGCUGGAGCAUGCGAAGGGCAAAGAGCUGGUGAGUGAAACUGUUGGCAGUUGUAAAGAGAUAGAAUUAGAUGCUCUCGCUGUUCUUGAUGGUGAGGGUGGGAAUCCGAAAAGAAAAUGCAUUCUUCAUGAGCUCUGGAAUUAAGGAAACAGGAAUGGAUGUGUAGCCUUUUCAGAUAAGUUUCGCCUUUUCCCAGCUGUCAGUACUUCACAGAUUGGAGCACAAUUGACUGACUAUGACCAAACAACUUGGAAACUGAAGGUAAUCCCCACAAACAUGGCAGUUUCCCAUGGCUGCAACUUCAAAACUGAAUUUAAUUCAGAGGAUGGAGUUCACUCUUUCAUCAAAAGCCGAACUUAAAUCAAUACGAGUGUGUUGGGGUAACUUCUGUGUACGCUGCUCGCUUCCCGCUGCAACUGGGCUUUCAGUGUAGGAGCCUGCGCUGGUAUCUAGAAGUCCUCACUGGCAGUCCCGUGCUUGCAGGGGACCAAGCUCAGAAUGACUUCCCCUAAGCCAAAGAACAAGUACAAUGUCACUUGUAAAUCCUCUUUUCCUUUCUAUAUACUAACACCUUACUUCUGUCAACAUCUAAAUAAACAAUUUUUUUCUUCUUUUUUUUUUGUGAGGUAUGUUUCUUGCUGUUAGCCUAAACUAGGUAAAAAAUGUCAGAGGAGGGGCACGCAAAGGAAAUGGACACAGAUCAGUUGCUUAAGUAAUGUGCUUUUCAGCUAGGUUUAUAAUAGAAGGGCCUACGCCCUAUGCGAUUUAACUUUUAUUUGUGCUUAAGUUCCUACCUGUAGCUGCAAGGAAAUUUGCAUUCCUUUGUAAUUUAACAUGUAAGGCUUGAACAAGAUUUAUCCUCGUCAGCUUGGUCACCUGUUAGUGAUUCUUAAUGUCUUAAAGAAACUUUAAUGUUGCCAACUCUUUCCCAAGGUUUGUUGGUAUUGUUCCUUAUUUUAGUUCUUCCGUCAUCAAGUUCUAGAAUUUCUGAAAUUUCUGUUGUAACUGGGGGCUGAGUACCAGGUUUCCCACACCUUCUGUGUUUUUUUUGAAGGAAAGGAAUCUCUAAAUAUGAGCACAACGUUUUUUAUUGUCUUUGAGCACAAAGGCAGCUGUGGUUCUGAAGUCCUACUGAAUCUACGUGGGCCUUGGUCUGAGUGCAUUUCUUUUGCCCUGUUAAAUAAUACUUCUGGAAUUGUACAACAGCUUACAUCCUUCAUAAAUUGUUGUGAGCAUUUAAGCUAGUUUUGCUGAUGCUUGAGAAAUACAAGUUUCUUAUGCCUUUGUCAGGUUUUGCCUUAAGAAAGAUUUUUGUCAUGAAGAAAUUUUUCCUUAUAAAGAAAAAUCCAUUAUGUCUCCAGUAGGAGGCUGACUCUUCUAGUGUAAUAAAUGCCUUGCUAAGUUAAGUUUGAACGAAAGUUUUUUUCUCUAGGAAGCUGAAGAGGAAGACGGAAAAGGUGCAGCUGAGGCACAGACACUGGAGAAACAAUAACGUACUGGAGAGUAGAGCAAAGAGAGGGUCUUGAUGAAGCACUGAAGGAUCCCAAGGAAUGAAUUCAAGAAAAGUAUGAACUGGCUGUGAAUGCAUCAGAUGAGAAUAAAAGGAAGUUACGGGACUGGCAUGUUGUGGAGAGGGUGGCUUCUAGAGAGCUGUCAAGAUGGCUGAAGAAAACGCAAGAGUCACUCCAGUAUUUGAAGAAUUUGUUAAUGAAGAUCUUUUGACUGAUACAGCAGAAAACCCAGAUGUGCCCAGAGGUUAAGCUGGUUCUUCAGGAUAAGACUGGACCCAC